rnacentral:rRNA from 1 species
UUUACUCCUACGGGAGGCAGCAGUGGGGAAUAUUGCACAAUGGGCGCAAGCCUGAUGCAGGGACGCCGCGUGAGGGAUGACGGCCUUCGGGUUGUAAACCUCUUUCAGUAGGGAAGAAGCGAAAGUGACGGUACCUGCAGAAGAAGCGCCGGCUAACUACGUGCCAGCAGCCGCGGUAAUACGUAGGGCGCAAGCGUUAUCCGGAAUUAUUGGGCGUAAAGAGCUCGUAGGCGGUUUGUCGCGUCUGCCGUGAAAGUCCGGGGCUCAACUCCGGAUCUGCGGUGGGUACGGGCAGACUAGAGUGAUGUAGGGGAGACUGGAAUUCCUGGUGUAGCGGUGAAAUGCGCAGAUAUCAGGAGGAACACCGAUGGCGAAGGCAGGUCUCUGGGCAUUAACUGACGCUGAGGAGCGAAAGCAUGGGGAGCGAACAGGAUUAGAUACCCUGGUAGUCCAUGCCGUAAACGUUGGGCACUAGGUGUGGGGGACAUUCCACGUUUUCCGCGCCGUAGCUAACGCAUUAAGUGCCCCGCCUGGGGAGUACGGCCGCAAGGCUAAAACUCAAAGGAAUUGACGGGGGCCCGCACAAGCGGCGGAGCAUGCGGAUUAAUUCGAUGCAACGCGAAGAACCUUACCAAGGCUUGACAUGAACCGGUAACGCCUGAAACCAUGUGGCCC